rnacentral:rRNA from 1 species
CCCUUAGACGUUCUGGGCCGCACGCGCGCUACACUGACACAGGCAACGAGCUUUCCUUUACCGAAAGGUAUGGGUAAUCUUUUGAAACUGUGUCGUGCUGGGGAUAGAUCCUUGCAAUUUUUGAUCUUAAACGAGGAAUUCCUAGUAAGCGCGAGUCAUCAACUCGUGUUGAUUACGUCCCUGCCCUUUGUACACACCGCCCGUCGCUACUACCGAUUGAAUGGCUUAGUGAGGCCUCAGGAUCCGCGCUUAAUGUGUGGAGAAUUUGGACAAACUACGUCAUUUAGAGGAAGUAAAAGUCGUAACA